rnacentral:rRNA from 1 species
UACGGAGGGUGCAAACGUUGCUCGGAAUCAUUGGGCGUAAAGCGCACGUAGGCGGUCCAGCAAGUCGGGUGUGAAAGCCCUCGGCUUAACCGAGGAAGUGCAUUCGAAACUACUGGACUUGAGUACUGAAGAGGAUCGCGGAAUUCCCGGUGUAGAGGUGAAAUUCGUAGAUAUCGGGAGGAACACCAGUGCGAAGGCGGCGAUCUGGGCAGAUACUGACGCUGAGGUGCGAAAGCGUGGGGAGCAAACAGG